GUCCGCGUUGUAAUUUUGUGAGGCAUCUCCGGGUAGGGCGCCGGCCUAAGUUCCUUGGAACAGGACGUCACAGAGGGUGAGAAUCCCGUGCUUGGCUGGCUGUCCCCGUCCAUGUGAGGUGUCUUCGACGAGUCGAGUUGUUUGGGAAUGCAGCUCAAAAUGGGUGGUAAAUUUCAUCUAAAGCUAAAUAUUGGUGGGAGACCGAUAGCGCACAAGUAGAGUGAUCGAAAGAUGAAAAGCACUUUGAAAAUAGAGUUAAAAAGUACGUGAAAUUGUUGAAAGGGAAGCGCUUGAGACCAGACUUCGGUAAGGGGUGAUCAGCCGUCCUUCUGGGCGGUGCACUUGCCCCCCUCCGGGCCAGCAUCGGUUGAGGCGGCGGGAUAAAGGUCCCGGGAAUGUGGCUCCUUCACGGGAGUGUUAUAGCCCGGGUGAAUGCCGCCAGCUUCGACCGAGGACCGCACCCGCAAGGGUUAGGAUGCUUGGCAUAAUGGUCUUCAGCGACCCGUCUUGAAACACGGACCAAGGAGUCUAACAUCUAUGCGAGUGUUUGGGUGUCAAACCCUUGCGCGAAAUGAAAGUGAACGGANGUGGGAACCCGCAAGGGCGCACCAUCGACCGGUCCCGAAGUCUUCUGAAGGAUCUGAGUAGGAGCAUAGCUGUUGGGACCCGAAGAUGG
rnacentral:rRNA from 1 species